UGAGGGAUAUUGCGCAAUGGGGGAAACCCUGACGCAGCGACGCCGCGUGGGCGAAGACGGUCUUCGGAUUGUAAAGCCCUUUUCUGUGUGACGAGUAAGGACGGUAGCACAGGAAGAAGUCUCGGCUAACUACGUGCCAGCAGCCGCGGUAAAACGUAGGAGGCAAGCGUUAUCCGGAGUUACUGGGCGUAAAGCGCGCGCAGGCGGUGCGUUAAGUGUAUUGUCAAAGACACAGGCUCAACCUGGGGAAGGCAACACAGACUGACGGACUGGAGGCAGCUAGAGGGACGUGGAAUUCGGGGUGUAGCGGUGAAAUGUGUAGAGAUCCCGAGGAACACCAGCGGUGAAGACGGCGUCCUGGGGCUGACCUGACGCUGAGGCGCGAAGGCGUGGGGAGCGAACGGG
rnacentral:rRNA from 1 species